rnacentral:lncRNA from 1 species
ACUCAGGGAAAUCUCGACCCACCCAGCAGAAAUGCUAAACCCACAUCCUCCUGCUUCGGUAAGCAAAGGUCCGAGCUAAUCAGGGUUUAGCAUCAUCUCCAGCGCAACUGUAGCUGGGGCUGGCUUCUGGCAAAUUGUUUCUUCAUGGAAACAUCAAAUGAGUGGAAAAACUCCAAGGAGCAGGACCAUCUGCUGCACUAUGACAGGCCCUGUGACAAAAGUAAUCCAUCAAAGCAAAAUGUCACGCACACGGAGUUGAUCUUGCAUUUUCUGCUCCGAUAAGAAAAAGGUAAAUUCCCCUUGGGGCUUUUGAACAAAUAAUUUUUUGAAAAUAAUAUGCUUCCAAUUUGGGGAACAUUUUAAUACCUUAGCCAGAUGCACUUUUUAAUGUUUUGGGUAUGUUCAAAAUGCUACAACAGUCCUGGAAGCAAAUGUGUACCUCAUUUGAAUUUAUAAUUUAAAUUUUUUAAAAGGCCACUCAGGACUGACAAUGUGGAGGUUCUGAAUGUCUACCCUGAAGCCUCUAACUUCUCUUUCUUCUCAUUUCCCGCUUACAGGAGCAAAGUGGAAAUCCCUGACCAGCCUCUACCUUCCAUGGUAUCUAGGGCAGGGGCCCAAGAAACAAACACCACUGAUUGCCCGGGCUGCCAUUAUUUCACAAGCUUCAGCUGAACACAUUUCUAAGUCACAUUACUCUUCACCAAGGUUUGGUUUUCCUUUAGACCAGCAACUCCUAUAACAUCAGACAGAAUCUCAUUUCUUACCCUAAUGUUCAUGUUUUAAAGCUUUACAAGUGUUACAUUUCAACAGCAGGAAAAAUCCUAUUUCCCAUAAAAGCACAGAAAUCUCUACCCAAGGAAACCGUUUGCCAAUGAAAUGAAAUGUAAAGCUGAUGAUAUGGGUAAUGGUACUCUGAGUUUCCCAGCUUUUUUCAGUCUUCCUGCAUCCAAAGCCCAUUUCUAAAAUAAACUACAUAAACUCUCCAACAAAAGAAUGAAUUUGUGCGAUGCAUAAACAUCUAGACCCCGAGUCUUCAU